CCCUUAGAUGUCCGGGGCCGCACGCGCGCUACACUGAAGGAAUCAGCGUGGCUUUCUCCCUGACCCGAAAGGGUUGGGAAACCCGUUGAAUCUCCUUCGUGAUAGGGAUUGGGGCUUGAAAUUGUUCCCCAUGAACGAGGAAUUCCCAGUAAGCACGAGUCAUAAGCUCGCGUUGAUUACGUCCCUGCCCUUUGUACACACCGCCCGUCGCUACUACCGAUUGAACGGUUUAGUGAGGGCCUCGGAUUGGUCUCGGCCCGCUCUUUACCGGGCGGCGCCGUUGGUCGAGAAGACGCUCGAACUUGAUCGUUUAGAGGAAGUAAAAGUCGUAACA
rnacentral:rRNA from 1 species